ACCUGCUGGGACCAUUUCUGUGCCCUCUCUGUGAGAUAUUUGUAGACCACAGGUCUGCCCACUAGAUAUGACAACAUAUAGCAGAAGGAAGCACCAAGACCAGAGCACUGCCGAAAGAAAAAAAUAAGUCCUUCAUUCUUCUCAGAGGGGAGGACACUGAGCCGGAGCUCCUUGCAGGAGGCCCCACUGAACUUCCCACAAGAAGCACCACAUACUGUCCACAAAGAGUCCAAGUGACAUGUCAAGAUCCAGAGAGGAGGUCCCUGUUCAAUCAUGGCUGAAAAUAUUCCCAAGAACUCAACAUGGAACAAGACUGAGGUAUAGGGACAAUUUAUGGCCGGAGUACACUGGACUGAGGCCUUAAUUUCCCCAAAGUGAGUUUAAGGUUAAAUUAAAAUAAA